rnacentral:lncRNA from 1 species
GGCCUAUUUCGUUUUGGAGUCGGUCUUUUAGUCCUGACGGUUCGUGUUUUUGUAUUUUAAUAAUAGCCCAGUAUUUUCCUUCAAAAAAAAGCCUUAAACCGACGCCGGGAUAUCCUUGGAAUGGGAUAUACCAGGCCGGGAUAUCCUUGGAAUGGGAUAUACCAGGCCGGGAUAUCCCUUUUUAGGAUAUCCCCAAACCGGGAUAUACACCGAAUGGGAUAUCCCUACAUGGAAUAAGUUUGACAGGUAGUCCGGUCCUGCAGCAUAAAAAAUCUG